GGUCUGGUGGAUCAGUGGUAGAAUGCUCGCCUGCCACGCGAGCGACCCGGGUGCGAUACCCGGCCAAUGCA